rnacentral:rRNA from 1 species
ACUGCUCAGUAACACGUAGUCAACAUGCCCAGAGGACGUGGAUAACCUCGGGAAACUGAGGAUAAACCGCGAUAGGCCAAGAUUCCUGGAAUGGUUCAUGGCCGAAAUCUAUAUGGCCUUUGGAUUGGACUGCGGCCGAUCAGGCUGUUGGUGAGGUAAUGGCCCACCAAACCUGUUACCGGUACGGGCUCUGAGAGGAGGAGCCCGGAGAUGGGCACUGAGACAAGGGCCCAGGCCCUAUGGGGCGCAGCAGGCGCGAAACCUCUGCAAUAGGCGAAAGCUUGACAGGGUUACUCUGAGUGAUUUCCGCUAAGGAGAUCUUUUGACACCUCUAAAAAUGGUGUAGAAUAAGGGGUGGGCAAGUCUGGUGUCAGCCGCCGCGGUAAUACCAGCACCCCGAGUGGUCGGGACGAUUAUUGGGCCUAAAGCAUCCGUAGCCGGUCCUACAAGUCUUCCGUUAAAUCCACCUGCUCAACAGAUGGGCUGCGGAAGAUACUAUAGAGCUAGGAGGCGGGAGAGGCAAGCGGUACUCAGUGGGUAGGGGUAAAAUCCUCUGAUCCAUUGAAGACCACCAGUGGCGAAGGCGGCUUGCCAGAACGCGCUCGACGGUGAGGGAUGAAAGCUGGGGGAGCAAACCGGAUUAGAUACCCGGGUAGUCCCAGCUGUAAACGAUGCAGACUCGGUGAUGGGUUGGCCUUGUGCCAACCCAGUGCCGCAGGGAAGCCGUUAAGUCUGCCGCCUGGGGAGUACGGUCGCAAGACUGAAACUUAAAGGAAUUGGCGGGGGAGCAC